rnacentral:rRNA from 1 species
UACAUGGGGUGCAAACGUUGCUCGGAAUUAUUGGGCGUAAAGCGCACGUAGGCGGUUCGUUAAGUCGGAUGUGAAAGCCCUCGGCUCAACUGAGGAAGUGCACCCGAAACUGGCGAGCUUGAGUACGAAAGAGGAUCGCGGAAUUCCCGGUGUAGAGGUGAAAUUCGUAGAUAUCGGGAGGAACACCAGUGGCGAAGGCGAGUCUCUGGACGACUCCUGACACUGAGGCACGAAAGCUAGGGGAGCAAACAGG